rnacentral:tRNA from 1 species
UAUAUCAUAGUGUAUGUGCACGCAAAUUUUUGAUUUUUGAAGUAAAAGUUCAAUCCUUUUUGAUGUAA